GCGCCCGAGGGUGCACGCUGGCCGGCGAGGUUUCGCCCGCCGGCGUAUUUGCG
rnacentral:sRNA from 1 species